rnacentral:rRNA from 1 species
GAUGAACGCUGGCGGCGUGCCUAAUACAUGCAAGUCGAGCGAACAGACGAGGAGCUUGCUCCUCUGACGUUAGCGGCGGACGGGUGAGUAACACGUGGAUAACCUACCUAUAAGACUGGGAUAACUUCGGGAAACCGGAGCUAAUACCGGAUAAUAUAUUGAACCGCAUGGUUCAAUAGUGAAAGACGGUUUUGCUGUCACUUAUAGAUGGAUCCGCGCCGCAUUAGCUAGUUGGUAAGGUAACGGCUUACCAAGGCGACGAUGCGUAGCCGACCUGAGAGGGUGAUCGGCCACACUGGAAAUGAGACACGGUCCAGACUCCUACGGGAGGCAGCAGUAGGGAAUCUUCCGCAAUGGGCGAAAGCCUGACGGAGCAACGCCGCGUGAGUGAUGAAGGUCUUCGGAUCGUAAAACUCUGUUAUUAGGGAAGAACAAAUGUGUAAGUAACUAUGCACGUCUUGACGGUACCUAAUCAGAAAGCCACGGCUAACUACGUG